CCCGUCUGCUGCUUUCCCUCUCCCUUUUCCUUAAAGCUGUUGCGCUCUGUAUCCAAAUCCCCUUCAGACGGGUGGAACUAGCACUGUGGCCAUGUGGUGCAAUUCCCCGAGGGUCAACUGGCUUGCAAGACCCGAGUGGCUGGACCAGGCCAAGGGACACCCAUGUAACACCUGGCUGCAGAAGAUAAAGGGUCAUUUCUGGAGGGGGGGACUGCAUGUCUGCCUGGGGGGUUGCCAAAUGGGAUUCCAAGCUAUUUUGUUAUGGGGUGGGUGCGGCAAAGCGCGGCACUACUGCAUGCCGCUGAGCCUGACCUGAUCUGACCUGUUACUCGGCUUCACCCAGGAAAUUUCCUAAGACAGUAGGAAUCUGCUAUAGUUAUGUUGGUU